GGGAAUGUGGCUUAGUGGUAAAGUGCUUGCCUUGCAUGCAUGAAGCCCUGGGUUCCAUUCCUCAGCACCA
rnacentral:tRNA from 1 species